rnacentral:rRNA from 1 species
UACGGAGGGUGCAAGCGUUAUCCGGAUUCACUGGGUUUAAAGGGUGCGUAGGCGGGCAGGUAAGUCAGAGGUGAAAUCUCCGGGCUUAACCCGGAAACUGCCUUUGAUACUAUCUGUCUUGAAUAUGGUGGAGGUAAGCGGAAUAUGUCAUGUAGCGGUGAAAUGCUUAGAUAUGACAUAGAACACCCAUUGCGAAGGCAGCUUACUACGCCUAUAUUGACGCUGAGGCACGAAGGCGUGGGGAUCAAACAGG